rnacentral:rRNA from 1 species
CAGGAAACUUGUGCUAAUACCGGAUAAGUCUUUACGGAGAAAGCUUUAUGCACCAUUGGAUGAGCCUGCACUUGAUUAGUUUGUUGGUGUGGUAAUGGCCUACCAAGACUGUGAUCAAUAGCUGAUUUGAGAGGAUGAUCAGCCACAUUGGGACUGAGACACGGCCCAAACUCCUACGGGAGGCAGCAGUGGGGAAUCUUGCACAAUGGAGGAAACUCUGAUGCAGCGAUGCCGCGUGAGUGAAGAAGGCCUUUGGGUUGUAAAGCUCUUUCGUCGGGGAAGAAAAUGACUGUACCCGAAUAAGAAGGUCCGGCUAACUUCGUGCCAGCAGCCGCGGUAAUACGAAGGGACCUAGCGUAGUUCGGAAUUACUGGGCUUAAGGAGUUCGUAGGUGGUUGAAAAAGUUGGUGGUGAAAUCCCAGAGCUUAACUCUGGAACUGCCAUCAAAACUUUUCAGCUAGAGUAUGAUAGAGGAAAGCAGAAUUUCUAGUGUAGAGGUGAAAUUCGUAGAUAUUAGAAAGAAUACCAAUUGCGAAGGCAGCUUUCUGGAUCAUAACUGACACUGAAGAACGAAAGCAUGGGUAGCGAAGAGGAUUAGAUACCCUCCGUGUCAUGGCCGAAACGAUAUGUGUUAGACGUUGGCAAUUUAUUUCAGCGUGGAGAGAAAGGAAAAACACG